ensembl:lncRNA
GAGAAAGGGAGGGUGUACUAGGAAGAACAGCUUGUGUAGACAUGAAGAAGUGAUGAGCAUGGCACAUUCAGCAGAUAGACUAGAGAAGAAUUGCAAAUUGCAUAAUAGAGCUAAAGCUGGAGGAGUGAUUUGGGACCUUUAAUACUGCUACUGAAAUCUCCAUCUCUGUAUACCAGCGCUGAAUCAAAAUCAUGGAGACAGCUUUGGGUAAGAAAGAAAAGGGUAGCUUUAUUUCUUUGCCAGGCAAAGGAAUCCACAUCAGGCUAGUGCCAUCAAGACUGUGUCCUUCCUGAAAGGGUUCAGAAAGUACAACUUACAGUGUUAGCUCAAAAUAUGGUUCUCUUAUUUUUGUUUGAUUUCUUUAUUUUGGCUGCAUCUCUGCAGUGGGAAUGUGGAAUCUUAACCACAUUGGACCACCAGGAAAGUCCUCAAAAUAAGAUUCUUGAUGAGGAUGGGGCAGUAGUUGGGUCUGUAUUCUUCUGUUCUUAUGGAACAUUUCAAAACCAUCAAGGUUGGUGUCAGGAGUCCUGGUGAUGGGCUCUGGUGGUCUCUGAGAUUGCUAUAGUGGGACCUCCUCUUCUGGAAUGAAGAAUGCUUACAAAGAAGAAGAGUGUAAGGGAGUGUUUCAAAGAGGAAAAAUGCCAGGUGCCUGAUCGAGCUUUAACUAACUAGUGAAUUACUUUAAGCAGUCAGAGUGCAAAGAAAUCAUCAUCAUCAUCAUCAUCAUCAACAACAACAACAACAACAACAACAGAGAAAGAGAACCUGCAAGUGAAGCAUAACAUGAUGGAGACCUAGCCGGACUUCCCUGGUGGCUUGGUCAGUAAAGAAUCGGCCUGCAAUGUGGACCUUGGUUCAAUCCUUGGGUUGGGAAGAUCCCCUGGAAGAAGGCUUGGCAACCCACUCCAGUAUUUUUGCCUGGAGAAUCCGCAUGGACAGAGGAGCCUGGUAGGUACAGUCCAUGGGGUCUCAGAGUUGGACAAGACUGAGUGAUUAAGCACAGUACUCUUUUUAAGAUUCUUUUCCCA